rnacentral:misc_RNA from 1 species
GAUGAAGAACGCAGCGAAAUGCGAUAAGUAAUGUGAAUUGCAGAAUUCAGUGAAUCAUCGAAUCUUUGAAAGCACAUUGCGCCCGCCAGUAUUCUGGCGGGCAUGCCUGUUCGAGCGUCAUUACAACCCUCAGGCCCCCGGGCCUGGCGUUGGGGAUCGGCGGAGCCCCCCGUGGGCACACGCCGUCCCCCAAAUGCAGUGGCGGUCCCGCCGCAGCUUCCAUCGCGUAGUAGCUAACACCUCGCGACUGGAGAGCGGCGCGGCCACGCCGUAAAACACCCAACUCUUCUGAAGUUGACCUCGAAUCAGGUAGGAAUACCCGCUGAACUUAAGCAUAUCAAUAAGCGGAGGA